rfam:Salmo salar isolate Sally breed double haploid chromosome ssa17, whole genome shotgun sequence.
UGUGUUCACUACUGUAAGUCGCUCUGGAUAAGAGCAUCUGCUAAAUGACGUAAA